GCGCUUGUGGCUCAACUGGAUAGAGCAACGGCCUUCUAAGCCGUAGGUUGCAGGUUCGAGUCCUGCCGGGCGCGCCA
rnacentral:tRNA from 1 species